ACACUGCUGAGGAGUCCCACAAUAGGACGAAACGGCCGUCCCGUAG
rnacentral:hammerhead_ribozyme from 1 species